CCACCUGAAGGAGAACGUCCCUCCUUCUCUGUUGCUUCUGUCACGAACCUUCUACCUGAUAGAUGUGAAGCCAAAGCCGAUUGAGAUACCACUAAGCGGGGAGUCUCCAAAACCAGAUAUUCCUGUGGAAUCACCUACUUCUCCUGAAUCUAAAGAGACGCUGGUGGAUUUAGCACCUUCACUGAAGGGAACUAAGGAUGAAGAAUUUAUACAGCUGCCGCCCGUUCCCUCAUCCCCCACAACACCAUCAACGCCUAUCCCAUUACCUAAAGGACCCAUCACUUCUGCUAAAGAAGCUACGCUCCAGGCCAAAUCACAAAAGACAACACAGAACAGCAAGGCGAGUUCAAAAGGAGCAUAAGGACCAGCGGAGGAUGAAGCUCACUGUCGUCAGCUCCUGCCCGCAGUGGUGGCAUCCAUAUAGGACCGCCCAGCUGAGACGCUCUGUGUCUGGUUUAAGCAGAGGAUCAGCCAUGUCGUCCUUGGGGUAGGCCUUUGAGGCCUUGUACCUGUUCCAGAUGAUGUCAGCAGUGAGACCAAGUUCAGACCAUUUAGAAAUAUAAUUGCAAAGCCAACUUCCUCUGUACCAUGAUGGCAUCCCACUAAACUGUGUGUAAAGCCCCCUCCCCAUGUUAUUUUUGAACAGCUUCGUAUUCCUGUGCAUGUCCUUUAAGGGAGGAAUUUUUUUUUUUUUUCUUUUCAUAAUGGAAUCAGCCUGGCACCUUAGAUUCCUCGAGUAAGGACUUGGAAACUCCAAAACCAUUGUGAGAACACCUAACUUUUUCAGGAAUCCAUCAGUAGGAAUAGUGCCCUGGAAGCAAAGCACCUUAAUGGGAUGGAAUGGAGGUACUCCCCAGUAAGGCCUUUCUGGAUCUGAAGAAGAAAAAGCUUUGUGGAGAAGAAAACGGGGAGCUCGGCAGACUGGCGAUCAGCAAGGCCUGGCUGGUGCUUGGCUGUUGGGAGGCCCCCCGCCUUGGGGCCUGCGGGGGCUGCAGGAUCUGGGAGGUUGCCACUACUCCAGGAUGCGGGGCUUUCGUUAGCCACCAUUUUUCCAGGAAACAUAAUUCAGGGUUUAAGACUUAACCAUUUGUCUGUGCUGGGUGUAUGUUUUCCUGGUCUGUUUGUCUUUCACCAACAAGACCAUUUGUUAGUCAUCGGGGUGGUUAAAGUCUGAUAUAAUCCCUUUUGCGACCAAGUAAUGAGUAUUAUGUUCAGAUCCUUAUGUUCGGUGUUUUCAGGAUGGUCAGUCCUGAGAAAACUUAACAUAAUACCUUGCCAUGCAGCUGACCAACAGCUCUCUUCCCUCGGGCAGUGCUUAGAAAGAAGAUAUUUUGGCUUGUGGGUGAUGAAAUUGGUCUUCUCUGCUCGCUGUAAAUUGAAAGCAGUUAGAGCGGAGUCAUUUAAGCCAAGCGCAACCCCAGUCUCCCUCUCUGGGGUCACCCAAGGGAGGACUGUCGUUGGCACUUCCCAGCAAGGAUCUGUAUUUGACAAUGUUUUUUAGGCCUCCUCUCCACCUUGAGGAAAAGCCUGACUGUGGCCUGCUAACGAACUCCAGUUCCUCGAGAAUGAUGAAUCCCUACUAUGCAGCGUUCGGUGGAUCUCGCCAUUGGC